rnacentral:rRNA from 1 species
GUCUAAUACCGAAUAUUCACACCACUGUAGGGGUGGUGUGGAAAGCCUUGUGCGGUGUGGGAUGAGCCUGCGGCCUAUCAGCUUGUUGGUGGGGUAAUGGCCUACCAAGGCGUCGACGGGUAGCCGGCCUGAGAGGGUGUACGGCCACAUUGGGACUGAGACACGGCCCAGACUCCUACGGGAGGCAGCAGUGGGGAAUAUUGCACAAUGGGCGCAAGCCUGAUGCAGCGACGCCGCGUGGGGGAUGACGGCCUUCGGGUUGUAAACUCCUUUCGCUAGGGACGAAGCCGUAAGGUGACGGUACCUGGAGAAGAAGCACCGGCUAACUACGUGCCAGCAGCCGCGGUAAUACGUAGGGUGCGAGCGUUGUCCGGAAUUACUGGGCGUAAAGAGCUCGUAGGUGGUUUGUCGCGUCGUCUGUGAAAUCCCGGGGCUUAACUUCGGGCGUGCAGGCGAUACGGGCAUAACUUGAGUGCUGUAGGGGAGACUGGAAUUCCUGGUGUAGCGGUGAAAUGCGCAGAUAUCAGGAGGAACACCAAUGGCGAAGGCAGGUCUCUGGGCAGUAACUGACGCUGAGGAGCGAAAGCAUGGGUAGCGAACAGGAUUAGAUACCCUGGUAGUCCAUGCCGUAAACGGUGGGCGCUAGGUGUAGGGGUCUUCCACGACUUCUGUGCCGCAGCUAACGCAUUAAGCGCCCCGCCUGGGGAGUACGGCCGCAAGGCUAAAACUCAAAGGAAUUGACGGGGGCCCGCACAAGCGGCGGAGCAUGUGGAUUAAUUCGAUGCAACGCGAAGAACCUUACCUGGGCUUGACAUGGACCGGAUCGGCGUAGAGAUACGUUUUCCCUUGUGGUCGGUUCACAGGUGGUGCAUGGUUGUCGUCAGCUCGUGUCGUGAGAUGUUGGGUUAAGUCCCGCAACGAGCGCAACCCUUGUCUUAUGUUGCCAGCACAUUGUGGUGGGUACUCAUGAGAGACUGCCGGGGUUAACUCGGAGGAAGGUGGGGAUGACGUCAAAUCAUCAUGCCCCUUAUGUCCAGGGCUUCACACAUGCUACAAUGGUCGGUACAGCGAGUUGCCACACCGUGAGGUGGAGCUAAUCUCUUAAAGCCGGCCUCAGUUCGGAUUGGGGUCUGCAACUCGACCCCAUGAAGUCGGAGUCGCUAGUAAUCGCAGAU